GAUUUGAGGGGACACCGGGGCUGUGAAGGGACACCGGGGCUGUGAGGGGACCAGGGGCUGUGAGGGAAUACCAGGGAUUUGAGGGGACACUGGGGCUGUGAGGGGACACUGGGGCUGUGAGGGGACACCGGGGCUGUGAGGGAAUACCGGGGCUGUGAGGGAAUACCUGGGGUACGGACUGAACACACCAGGGGGCUGCAGGGCUUGGAAGAAGCAUCUCCAGACAGGGUGUCCUGCACAGACAUCACCCUGCCACAGGCUGGUCAUCCCUUCUCAAAUGCUCCAAAUGCCAGGGCAUGUUCUAAUAUUCAGUAAGCACACAAGAAGUCCCAGCAAAGUCAGAACUCUGCCAAAUGACUCUGGGAAGCUUGGCAUGUUUGAAUUGGUUUCUGCAGCCUGUUGCUGGGAUUUUUUUGAAGCACCUGGACACUGUCAGGAGUGACAGGGCAGCAGCAGAACAUUGAAUUGCUUCACCUCCACUGCCAGCCCCUUGCACCUGAACCACUUUAGUUCCAGCUCUUCUCACGUCCCAUACAGGCAUUGAAAACCAGUGUGGAUUUUGGGCUGCACAGGCCUCUGACUACUGGAGAGCCUCUGGAGCAACCUGCAGCACUGCCUGCCCUGUUCCAGCUUCC